CUGCACAAUAAUUGUGUAAGCAGAUGACCUCAAGUCAGAUGUUUCUGUCCAUGACCGAAGAGUUUGAUAUGGGUGAUGUUCUCAUCAGUGGUAAACAAAGUAGUGGUAUCACUGACUGAUAGCCAUGAUCAACCCAUGCCAUACAAGUAUCUGGAGUGGUAAAUCAAGAAUGCAAGUUUGUGGUUCAAAAAUAUGGCUCAUCUAUUAUGGAUAUUCUCUU